rnacentral:rRNA from 1 species
GGGGAAUCUUCCGCAAUGGACGAAAGUCUGACGGAGCAACGCCGCGUGAGUGAAGAAGGUUUUCGGAUCGUAAAGCUCUGUCUUUUGGGACGAAUGUGCUGUAGGUGAAUAAUCUGUAGCAAUGACGGUACUAAAGGAGGAAGCCACGGCUAACUACGUGCCAGCAGCCGCGGUAAUACGUAGGUGGCGAGCGUUGUCCGGAAUUAUUGGGCGUAAAGGGCGCGUAGGCGGAUCUGUAAGUCUGACUUAAAAGUGCAGGGCUCAACCCUGUGAGGGGUCAGAAACUAUAGAUCUUGAGUGCAGGAGAGGAAAGUGGAAUUCCCAGUGUAGCGGUGAAAUGCGUAGAUAUUGGGAGGAACACCAGUGGCGAAGGCGACUUUCUGGACUGUGUCUGACGCUGAGGCGCGAAAGCCAGGGGAGUGAACG